rnacentral:rRNA from 1 species
GACGAACGCUGGCGGCGUGCCUAAUACAUGCAAGUUGAGCGAUGAAGCUUGGUGCUUGCCCCAAUUUGAAGAGCAGCGAACGGGUGAGUAACGCGUGGGGAAUCUGCCUUUGAGCGGGGGACAACAUUUGGAAACGAAUGCUAAUACCGCAUAACAACUUUAAACAUAAGUUUUAAGUUUGAAAGAUGCAAUUGCAUCACUCAAAGAUGAUCCCGCGUUGUAUUAGCUAGUUGGUGAGGUAAAGGCUCACCAAGGCGAUGAUACAUAGCCGACCUGAGAGGGUGAUCGGCCACAAUGGGACUGAGAAACGGCCCAAACUCCUACGGGAGGCAGCAGUAGGGAAUCUUCGGCAAUGGACGAAAGUCUGACCGAGCAACGCCGCGUGAGUGAAGAAGGGUUUCGGAUCGUAAAACUCUGUUGGUAGAGAAGAACGUUGGUGAGAGUGGAAAGCUCAUCAAGUGACGGUAACUACCCAGAAAGGGACGGCUAACUACGUG